AAACGGACGUUUUAUUUACGAAAUUGUAUAACGAGUAUUAAAAUAUGCUGAGAGUUAUAAAUAUCCGAAUGGGAAACCAAAAAUUAUUAUAUAAUUUUAGAGCUAUGCGACUAAAAUUUUAAAUUUAGUGAAUUGAAUCAUCUAAGUAACUAAAUUAAAAAAUCAACCGAGACAUUGUUAGUAGUGGUGAACGAAAACAAUAUAGACAAAAUGAAUCCAAAAUAGUAUUUUAUUUAAUAACACUUAUUGUUAGCCAUAGAAGGAAAUUUCUAAAAAUAGCCCUGUAAAAUAAAAAAGUGGAUUGUUUAAAAGUAAAUCAAAACAAGUCGUGUUUUGAUUGAAUAUUGGGGAACCUCCCUCAAAGUCUAAAAGAUUUAAUAUUUGAUAGUGAAAUAUAAAGUACCGUGAGGGAAAGGUGAAAA
rnacentral:rRNA from 1 species